UUAACACAUGCAAGUCGAACGGGCUCUUCGGAGCUAGUGGCGGACGGGUGAGUAACGCGUGAGAAUCUGCCUUCAGGAGGGGGAUAACGACUGGAAACGGUCGCUAAUACCCCAUAUGCCUCCGGGUGAAAAGUAAUUCGCCUGAAGAUGAGCUCGCGUCAGAUCAGCUAGUUGGUGGGGUAAGAGCCUACCAAGGCGACGAUCUGUAGCUGGUCUGAGAGGAUGAUCAGCCACACUGGGACUGAGACACGGCCCAGACUCCUACGGGAGGCAGCAGUGGGGAAUUUUCCGCAAUGGGCGCAAGCCUGACGGAGCAAGACCGCGUGGGGGAUGACGGCCUAAUGGUUGUAAACCCCUUUUCUCUGGGAAGAAGACUGACGGUACCAGAGGAAUCAGCCUCGGCUAACUCCGUGCCAGCAGCCGCGGUAAUACGGAGGAGGCAAGCGUUAUCCGGAAUUAUUGGGCGUAAAGCGUCCGUAGGUGGUUAUUCAAGUCUGCUGUCAAAGCGUGGGGGCUUAACUCCAUAGAGGCAGUGGACACUGAGUGACUAGAGUGCGGGAGGGGGUCGAGGGAAUUCCCAGUG
rnacentral:rRNA from 1 species